rnacentral:rRNA from 1 species
CUCGUAGGCGGCCAACUAAGUCAUACGUGAAAUCCCUCGGCUUAACCGGGGAACUGCGUCUGAUACUGGAUGGCUUGAGAUUGGGAGAGGGAUGCGGAAUUCCAGGUGUAGCGGUGAAAUGCGUAGAUAUCUGGAGGAACACCGGUGGCGAAGGCGGCAUCCUGGACCAACACUGACGCUGAGGAGCGAAAGCCAGGGAGCAAACG